UUCACCUGUUUAUCAAAACAUGGCUUAUUGAAAAUAAUCUUAAGUCAAUCUGCCCAAUGAUUUUAAUUAAAUGGCUGCAGUAUAACUAACUGUACAAAGGUAGCAUAAUAAAUUGUUUUUUAAUUGAAAACUGGAAUGAAAGAAUUAAUGAGAUAUAUACUGUCUCAUAUAUAUUUAAUGAAUUUAAAUUUUUAGUAAAAAUGCUUAAAUUAUUUUAUGGGACGAUAAGACCCUAUAGAAUUUUAUAUUAAUAUUUUAUUAAUUAUUUAAUUAAAAUAUUAAUAUUUAAUUGGGAGGAUUAAUAAAUUUAAAAAACUUUAUUUUAAAAAUAAACUUUGAUUUUAGAAUUAAUUUUUGAUCUUUUAUUAUAAAUCAAAAGAAUAAAUUACCUUAGGGAUAACAGCGUAAUAUCUUUUUAAAGAUCGUAUUUAUAAAGAUGUUUGCGACCUCGAUGUUGAAUUAAGAUUAAUUUUAAACGGAGAAGUUUAAUAAUUAAGUCUGUUCGACUUUUAAAAUCUUACAUGAUUUGAGUUCAAAUCGACGUGAGUCAGGUUGGUUUCUAUC
rnacentral:rRNA from 1 species